GACGGAGGAUGCAAGCGUUAUCCGGAAUUAUUGGGCGUAAAGCGUCCGCAGGUGGACAUACAAGUCUGCUGUCAAAGUGCAGAGCUUAACUCUGUAAAGGCGGUGGAAACUGUAGGUCUUGAGUAUGGUAGGGGUAGAGGGAAUUCCCGGUGUAGCGGUGAAAUGCGUAGAUAUCAGGAGGAACACCGGUGGCGAAGGCGGAUCUCUGGGCCUUGCCUGACGCUGAGGCGCGAAAGCUAGGGGAGCGAACAGG
rnacentral:rRNA from 1 species